rnacentral:rRNA from 1 species
AGCUAACCUACCCUAAGGUCAGGGAUAUCCUCGGGAAACUGAGGGUAACACCUGAUAGGAGAUUUACCCUGGAAAGAUUAAUCUCUGAAACUCGAGCCUAAGGAUGGGGCUGCGGCGGAUUAGCUUGUUGGCGGGGUAACAGCCCACCAAGGCUAUGAUCCGUAAGGGCUCUUAGCGGAGGGGCCCUGAGAGGGAAUCUGAGACAUUAUUCCCAGCCCUACGGGGUGCAGCAGUUAGGAAUCAUCUACAAUGCGCGAAAGCGUGAUAGUUUGAGCCAGAGUGUUUUCCAAUUUGGACAACUUUUGCCAAAUCUAAAAAGUUUGGCGAAUAAGGACUGGGUAAGACUAGUGCCAGCCGCCGCGGUAAUACUAGCGGUCCAAGUCGCAGCCAUUUUUAUUAGGUCUAAAACAUCCGUAGCUUGCUCAAUAAGUUUUCUGUGAAAUCCCAUCUCUCAAGGGUGGGGCGAGCAGUAAGUACUGUUGAGCUAGAGACUGGAAGGCGUAGGAAGUACAUUCAAAGUAGUGGUAAAAUACGUUAAUCUUGGAUGGACUCACAAUAGCGAAGGCAUCCUACGAGGACAGUUCUGACAGUAAGGGAUGAAAGCUAGGGGCGCGAAAGGGAUUAGAUACCCCUGUAGUCCUAGCAGUAAACACUGCACACUAAACAUUAGUACCUCCUCGAGAGGUAUUGGUGCUGAAGGGAAGCCGAAGAGUGUGCUACCUGGGAAGUAUAGCCGCAAGGCCGAAACUUAA